rnacentral:rRNA from 1 species
UGGGGAAUAUUGCACAAUGGGCGAAAGCCUGAUGCAGCAAUGCCGCGUGUGUGAAGAAGGCCUGCGGGUUGUAAAGCACUUUCAGUUGGGAGGAAAAGCAAUGGGCCAAUACCCCGUUGUCUUGACGUUACCUUCAGAAGAAGCACCGGCUAACUCUGUGCCAGCAGCCGCGGUAAUACAGAGGGUGCAAGCGUUAAUCGGAAUUACUGGGCGUAAAGCGCGCGUAGGCGGUUUGGUCAGUCGGAUGUGAAAGCCCCGGGCUUAACCUGGGAAUUGCAUUCGAUACUGCCAAGCUAGAGUGUAGUAGAGGGAAGCGGAAUUCCAGGUGUAGCGGUGAAAUGCGUAGAUAUCUGGAGGAACAUCAGUGGCGAAGGCGGCUUCCUGGACUAACACUGACGCUGAGGUGCGAAAGCGUGGGGAUCAAACAGGAUUAGAUACCCUGGUAGUCCACGCUGUAAACGAUGAAUACUAGGUGUCGGGUCGAAAGGUUCGGUACCGAAGCUAACGCAUUAAGUAUUCCACCUGGGGAGUACGAUCGCAAGGUG